rnacentral:rRNA from 1 species
AAGUGCAAUCAUACUAGCACUAAUGCAUCAGAUCUCAUCAGAAUCUCGUAGUUAAGCGUGCUUGGGCGAAAAUACUAUUAGGAUGGGUGAUCUCUUGGGAAGUCUGCGUGUUGCACCUU